rnacentral:rRNA from 1 species
AUUGAACGCUGGCGGCAUGCCUUACACAUGCAAGUCGAACGGCAGCACGGGAGCAAUCCUGGUGGCGAGUGGCGAACGGGUGAGUAAUAUAUCGGAACGUGCCCAGUCGUGGGGGAUAACGUAGCGAAAGCUACGCUAAUACCGCAUACGAUCUAUGGAUGAAAGCGGGGGAUCGCAAGACCUCGCGCGAUUGGAGCGGCCGAUAUCAGAUUAGGUAGUUGGUGAGGUAAAGGCUCACCAAGCCGACGAUCUGUAGCUGGUCUGAGAGGACGACUAGCCACACUGGGACUGAGACACGGCCCAGACUCCUACGGGAGGCAGCAGUGGGGGAAUUUUGGGACAAUGGGCGCAAGCCUGAUCCAGCAAUGCCGCGUGCAGGAUGAAGGCCUGGUGUAAU